UACGAGUGCCUCAAGCGUUAUCCGGAAUCAUUGGGCGUAAAGGAUGUGUAGGUGGCUGUGUUAGUCUCUCGUUAAAUUCUUCGGCUUAACCGGGGGUCUGCGGGGGAAACGGCACAACUAGAGGAUGCAAGGGGUCUGCGGAACUCAUAGUGUAGCGGUGAAAUGCGUUGAUAUUAUGGGGAACACCAAAAGCGAAGGCAGCAGACUAGGGCACUCCUGACACUGAGGCGCGAAAGCCAGGGGAGCGAACGGG
rnacentral:rRNA from 1 species